rnacentral:rRNA from 1 species
AACGAACGCUGGCGGCGUGGAUAAGACAUGCAAGUCGAACGGGGCAUUUUUGUAGCAAUACAAGGGUGUUCAGUGGCGUAAGGGUGCGUAACACGUGGGCAACCUGCCCGAGAGUGGGGGAUAGCCCGCCGAAAGGCGGAUUAAUACCGCAUGUGGCGAGGCAAGACAUCUUGCCGUAGCUAAAGCCGGGGCAACCUGGCGCUCUUGGAUGGGCCCGCGGCCUAUCAGCAGUUGGCGGGUAACGGCCCACCAAGGCUAUGACGGUAGCUGGUCUGAGAGGACGACCAGCCACACUGGGACUGAGACACGGCCCAGACUCCUACGGGAGGCGAGCAGUGGGGAAUUUUGGACAAUGGGGGCAACCCUGAUCCAGCAAUGCCGCGUGUGUGAAGAAGGCC